rnacentral:lncRNA from 1 species
UCAGAACAGACCAGAGAAUGGGCUCUGUAAAAUGGUGAGGAUGGAAAGAAGAAACCAAUCUGCUGUGCACCUGUGUAUAGAGCAUCCGGCAGUUCUAGGUGCAAUGUUUUAAGGGGAAGACUUACACUAUGAAGCUAGCCCAGAAGAGGGUGACUAGAGUACUGAGGAGUUUCUACCUGGAAGGGCUGUAAGACAACUGCUAUGUUGUGAGCGGCUCUAUGGAGAGGCCCAUGUGGAGGGAAGUGAGGAAGGCCUCUGGCCAACAGUCCAGGAGGAAGUGAAGCCCUCAGUCCAACAGCCUGUGUGGAACUGAACCCUGCAAACAACUCUGUGUGUGAGCUUGGAAGUGGAUCCAUAUUCAGUCAAACCUUGAGAUGGGACACCAUGCUCUGCUAACACUUGAUUGUGGUCCCAGCUAGG